GAAAUAUCAAAAAAAAGCUUCUAACUUAUUUUUUAGCAAUGAAAUUUGUUAAUAUUUCU
rnacentral:tRNA from 1 species